rnacentral:rRNA from 1 species
GGCGGACGGGUGAGUAAUACUUAGGAAUCUGCCCAUUAGUGGGGGACAACUCGAGGAAACUCGAGCUAAUACCGCAUACGCCCUACGGGGGAAAGCGGGGGAUCUUCGGACCUCGCGCUAUUGGAUGAGCCUAAGUCGGAUUAGCUUGUUGGUAGGGUAAUGGCCUACCAAGGCGACGAUCCGUAGCUGGUCUGAGAGGACGAUCAGCCACACUGGGACUGAGACACGGCCCAG